AAAGGGGCUUCGGCCCUGAGUAGAGUGGCAAACGGGUGAGUAACGCGUGGGUGACCUGCCCUUGAGUGGGGGAUAACGUUCCGAAAGGAGCGCUAAUACCGCAUAAUAUCCUGCUCUUGAAGAGGUGGAGAUCAAAGCCGGGGACCGCAAGGCCUGGCGCUUGAGGAGGGGCCCGCGUCCGAUUAGCUAGUUGGUAGGGUAAUGGCCUACCAAGGCGACGAUCGGUAGCCGGCCUGAGAGGGCGGACGGCCACACUGGGACUGAGACACGGCCCAGACUCCUACGGGAGGCAGCAGUGGGGAAUUGUUCGCAAUGGGCGCAAGCCUGACGACGCAACGCCGCGUGGAGGAUGAAGGUCUUCGGAUUGUAAACUCCUGUUGAUCGGGAAGAAUGUCUUUGGGGUCAAUACCCCCGAAGAGUGACGGUACCGGUUGAGGAAGCCCCGGCUAACUCUGUGCCAGCAGCCGCGGUAAUACAGAGGGGGCAAGCGUUGUUCGGAAUUACUGGGCGUAAAGGGCGCGUAGGCGGCCAACUAAGUCAGACGUGAAAUCCCAAGGCUCAACCUUGGAACUGCGUCUGAUACUGGAUGGCUCGAGUUCGGGAGAGGGAAGUGGAAUUCCAGGUGUAGCGGUGAAAUGCGUAGAUAUCUGGAGGAACACCGGCGGCGAAGGCGGCUUCCUGGACCGACACUGACGCUGAGGCGCGAAAGCCAGGGGAGCAAACGGGAUUAGAUACCCCGGUAGUCCUGGCCCUAAACGAUGAAUGCUUGGUGUGGCGGGUAUCGAUCCCUGCCGUGCCGAAGCUAACGCA
rnacentral:rRNA from 1 species